rnacentral:rRNA from 1 species
GACGAAGGGGGCUAGCGUUGUUCGGAAUCACUGGGCGUAAAGCGCACGUAGGCGGAUGUGUCAGUCAGGGGUGAAAUCCCGGAGCUCAACUUCGGAACUGCCUCUGAUACAGCACGUCUUGAGUUCGAGAGAGGUGGGUGGAAUUCCUAGUGUAGAGGUGAAAUUCGUAGAUAUUAGGAAGAACACCGGUGGCGAAGGCGGCCCACUGGCUCGAUACUGACGCUGAGGUGCGAAAGCGUGGGGAGCAAACAGG